rnacentral:tRNA from 1 species
GCGCCACGUGGAAGGACACGCACGACUCCACGUCGUCGAGGUCGGCGUCCAGGACCCGUUCGAUGCGGCGGAGGCGCUC